UACAGAGGUCCCAAGCGUUGUUCGGAUUCAUUGGGCGUAAAGGGUGCGUAGGUGGCGUCGUAAGUCGGGUGUGAAAUCUCGGGGCUUAACUCCGAAACUGCAUUCGAUACUGCGGUGCUUGAGGACUGGAGAGGAGACUGGAAUUUACGGUGUAGCAGUGAAAUGCGUAGAGAUCGUAAGGAAGACCAGUGGCGAAGGCGGGUCUCUGGACAGUUCCUGACACUGAGGCACGAGGGCCAGGGGAGCAAACGGG
rnacentral:rRNA from 1 species